rnacentral:rRNA from 1 species
GACAGAGGUGCCGAGCGUUACUCGGAAUUACUGGGCGUAAAGCGUGCGUAGGUGGUUUGUUAAGUCUGUUGUGAAAGCCCCGGGCUCAACCUGGGAAUGGCAAUGGAUACUGGCAGGCUAGAGUGCGGUAGAGGGUAGUGGAAUUCCCGGUGUAGCGGUGAAAUGCGUAGAGAUCGGGAGGAACACCAGUGGCGAAGGCGGCUACCUGGACCAGCACUGACACUGAGGCACGAAAGCGUGGGGAGCAAACAGG